AAGGAUCUCGUUGGUGACCAGCGGAGGGUCAUUACCGAGUUUACAACUCCCAAACCCAAUGUGAACCAUACCAAACUGUUGCCUCGGCGGGGUCACGCCCCGGGUGCGUCGCAGCCCCGGAACCAGGCGCCCGCCGGAGGGACCAACCAAACUCUUUCUGUAGUCCCCUCGCGGACGUUAUUUCUUACAGCUCUGAGCAAAAAUUCAAAAUGAAUCAAAACUUUCAACAACGGAUCUCUUGGUUCUGGCAUCGAUGAAGAACGCAGCGAAAUGCGAUAAGUAAUGUGAAUUGCAGAAUUCAGUGAAUCAUCGAAUCUUUGAACGCACAUUGCGCCCGCCAGUAUUCUGGCGGGCAUGCCUGUCCGAGCGUCAUUUCAACCCUCGAACCCCUCCGGGGGGUCGGCGUUGGGGAUCGGGAACCCCUAAGACGGGAUCCCGGCCCCGAAAUACAGUGGCGGUCUCGCCGCAGCCUCUCCUGCGCAGUAGUUUGCACAACUCGCACCGGGAGCGCGGCGCGUCCACGUCCGUAAAACACCCAACUUCUGAAAUGUUGACCUCGGAUCAGGUAGGAAUACCCGCUGAACUUAAGCAUAUCAAUAAGCGGAGGA
rnacentral:rRNA from 1 species